CCCUGAUCCAGCCAUCCCGCGUGUGCGAUGAAGGCCUUCGGGUUGUAAAGCACUUUUGGCAGGAAAGAAACGUCGCGGGUUAAUACCCUGCGAAACUGACGGUACCUGCAGAAUAAGCACCGGCUAACUCCGUGCCAGCAGCCGCGGUAAUACGGAGGGUGCAAGCGUUACUCGGAAUCACUGGGCGUAAAGAGCACGUAGGCGGCCUUGCAAGUCAGAUGUGAAAUCCAACGGCUUAACCGUUGAACUGCAUUUGAAACUGCAAGGCUAGAGUAUGGGAGAGGUAGGUGGAAUUCUCGGUGUAGGGGUAAAAUCCGUAGAGAUCGAGAGGAAUACUCAUUGCGAAGGCGACCUGCUGGAACAUUACUGACGCUGAGGUGCGAAAGCGUGGGGAGCAAACA
rnacentral:rRNA from 1 species